GACGAACGCUGGCGGCGUGCUUAACACAUGCAAGUCGAACGGAAAGGCCCUGCUUUUGUGGGGUGCUCGAGUGGCGAACGGGUGAGUAACACGUGAGUAACCUGCCCUUGACUUUGGGAUAACUUCAGGAAACUGGGGCUAAUACCGGAUAGGAGCUCCUGCUGCAUGGUGGGGGUUGGAAAGUUUCGGCGGUUGGGGAUGGACUCGCGGCUUAUCAGCUUGUUGGUGGGGUAGUGGCUUACCAAGGCUUUGACGGGUAGCCGGCCUGAGAGGGUGACCGGCACAUUGGGGAGUGAGGGAGGCCCCAGCCCCCAAGGGGGGGAAGGGGGGGGAAAUAUGGCACAUGGGGGGGAGGCCUAAGGCGGCAGCGCCGGGGGGGGGAUGGGGGCCUUGGGGUUGUAAACCGCUUUCGCCUGUGACGAGGGGGGAGUGACGGUAAGGGGUAAAGAAGCCCCGGCUAACUACGUC
rnacentral:rRNA from 1 species